UACGUAGGUGGCAAGCGUUGUCCGGAUUUAUUGGGUUUAAAGGGUGCGUAGGCGGUUGUAUAAGUCAGUGCUGAAAUAUCCCAGCUUAACUGGGAGGGUGGCAUUGAUACUGUAUGACUUGAGUAGAGUUGAGGUUGGCGGAAUUGACGGUGUAGCGGUGAAAUGCUUAGAUAUCGUCAAGAACACCGAUAGUGAAGACAGCUAACUAAGCUCUAACUGACGCUGAGGCACGAAAAGUGUGGGGGAUCAAAACAGG
rnacentral:rRNA from 1 species